rnacentral:piRNA from 1 species
UGCUGUCUGAGGGUUUCUAAAAUG